CGGCGGCAGGCCUAACACAUGCAAGUCGAGCGGUAGAGAGAAGCUUGCUUCUCUUGAGAGCGGCGGACGGGUGAGUAAUGCCUAGGAAUCUGCCUGGUAGUGGGGGAUAACGUUCGGAAACGGACGCUAAUACCGCAUACGUCCUACGGGAGAAAGCAGGGGACCUUCGGGCCUUGCGCUAUCAGAUGAGCCUAGGUCGGAUUAGCUAGUUGGUGAGGUAAUGGCUCACCAAGGCUACGAUCCGUAACUGGUCUGAGAGGAUGAUCAGUCACACUGGAACUGAGACACGGUCCAGACUCCUACGGGAGGCAGCAGUGGGGAAUAUUGGACAAUGGGCGAAAGCCUGAUCCAGCCAUGCCGCGUGUGUGAAGAAGGUCUUCGGAUUGUAAAGCACUUUAAGUUGGGAGGAAGGGCAGUAAGCGAAUACCUUGCUGUUUUGACGUUACCGACAGAAUAAGCACCGGCUAACUCUGUGCCAGCAGCCGCGGUAAUACAGAGGGUGCAAGCGUUAAUCGGAAUUACUGGGCGUAAAGCGCGCGUAGGUGGUUCGUUAAGUUGGAUGUGAAAUCCCCGGGCUCAACCUGGGAACUGCAUCCAAAACUGGCGAGCUAGAGUAGGGCAGAGGGUGGUGGAAUUUCCUGUGUAGCGGUGAAAUGCGUAGAUAUAGGAAGGACCACCAGUGGCGAAGGCGACCCCUGGGCUCAUACUGACCCUGAGGGCGAAAGCGUGGGG
rnacentral:rRNA from 1 species